rnacentral:tRNA from 1 species
GUUACAUUGGCAGAUUAGUGCAAUAAAUUUAGAAUUUACAAAUAUGAGAGGUUUCUUUCAUAUGUAAUA